rnacentral:tRNA from 1 species
GAAGGGAUAGUUCAGUGGUAGAGCAUAUGCUUAGCAUGCAUGAGGUCCUGGGUUCAAUACCCAGUACCACCA